rnacentral:rRNA from 1 species
GACGAACCGUGCGAACGUUGUUCGGAAUCACUGGGCUUAAAGGGCGCGUAGGCGGGUUCUCAAGUCGGGGGUGAAAUCUUUCAGCUCAACUGGAAAAGUGCCCCCGAUACUGAGAGUCUCGAGGGAGGUAGGGGCAUGCGGAACUUCCGGUGGAGCGGUGAAAUGCGUAGAUAUCGGAAGGAACGCCGGUGGCGAAAGCGGCGUGCUGGACCUCUUCUGACGCUGAGGCGCGAAAGCCAGGGGAGCAAACGGGAUUAGAUACCCCCGUAGUCC